rnacentral:lncRNA from 1 species
UUGAACGUGUACAUUCACGCUUUACCUAACUAGAACACCUCAGGAUCGCGGUUCUUUGUUUGGCAACAUAAAUGGAAGAAACAUGGGCUGGUGCCGAUGCAUAUGUGAACUCAACUUACAUGCAUUGUCAGAUCACACAUACCUUAAAUCGGUCUCACCUCGCAUCCCGUGUGAGUUGGAUUAACAUGUACAUCGAGUGCAUAUAAGAUUUGACCCACCAUUAGCCUAAGCAUGCGGGACGACUUUCAUCCAUGGGAAAAGAGAAAAGAUUCGAGCAUAGUUAAUUGCUAUCCUGCAAAUUGCAUAAUCACUGGUUCCAUAUGCUCUGGAAACUGAAAGUUAUAUUGGUCUAUCGAAUAUUCUAGCCAAAGAAUGAAUAAAUAAAUACAAAUAUUCUAUCAAACAACAUGAACUGCACACUUAGCACCGCAGACAUAAACUUGAGUUACUUACCACGAAGUCGUAGUAAUGGACGUUACUAGCUUGAGCUCCGAGGACGACAUUUCCGAAGACUAGUAAGACCGCAGCGAGGAAAAUGUUGGAGGAAUUGGACGAUGAUGUGGCCAUGCUCAUGAUCGUUCAACGACCGAUCGGUUCUUCUCUUCACACUGUCUUUCGUUUUCGCGGGUCUUGAGCUGGUGAUGGUCUCUCCUCUUUUAUAACGAAAUAUCAGUGGGGGCACAUUCUAAAAUUAAGCUA